rnacentral:rRNA from 1 species
CGUGAGCGGCGGACGGGUGAGUAACGCGUGGGUAACCUGCCUCAUACAGGGGGAUAACAGUUAGAAAUGACUGCUAAUACCGCAUAAGCGCACAGUACCACAUGGUACGGUGUGAAAAACUCCGGUGGUAUGAGAUGGACCCGCGUCUGAUUAGCUAGUUGGUGGGGUAACGGCCCACCUAGUCAACGAUGGAUAGGGGUUCUGAGAGGAAGGUCCCCCACAUUGGAACUGAGACACGGUCCAA